rnacentral:rRNA from 1 species
AACGAACGCUGGCGGCAUGCCUAACACAUGCAAGUCGAACGAAGCCUUCGGGCUUAGUGGCGCACGGGUGCGUAACGCGUGGGAAUCUGCCCUUGGGUUCGGAAUAACAGUUAGAAAUGACUGCUAAUACCGAAUGAUGUCUUCGGACCAAAGAUUUAUCGCCCAAGGAUGAGCCCGCGUCGGAUUAGCUAGUUGGUGAGGUAAGGCUCACCAAGGCGACGAUCCGUAGCUGGUCUGAGAGGAUGAUCAGCCACACUGGGACUGAGACACGGCCCAGACUCCUACGGGAGGCAGCAGUGGGGAAUAUUGGACAAUGGGCGAAAGCCUGAUCCAGCAAUGCCGCGUGAGUGAUGAAGGCCUUAGGGUUGUAAAGCUCUUUUACCCGGGAUGAUAAUGACAGUACCGGGAGAAUAAGCCCCGGCUAACUCCGUGCCAGCAGCCGCGGUAAU